GUAAAACCAAUGUAGUUGUGCAGUACAUUAAUCUUAGUAACUAGAAGCGCCAAAACCUGGAAGUCCCAGCCCAAUCAGGCUUUGAAUAAGUGUAAGAAACAGACGCACAAACAGUUGGCGUGCCUCUUCAUGACUGUAGUUGUUGCGUUCAUAGCUAUAGAGAGAGGUGGUGAAUGAAUCGGGGUUUGGUUUGGGCGAUGCUGCUGCUGCUAUGCCUUUGGAAACCCCUGAAUCUGAUAUGUAUCAGAGCAGCAUUGGCGCACACCGCCUCGCCUACCGCUCUCACAUAUCCAAGUUUGUAAAAGCCGGUCUCAUCAACCACGCCUUCCACCUGUUCGACCAAAUGACCCAAUCCAAUUGCCGCGUCUUCAGCGUCGACUACAACCGCUUCAUCGGCGUCCUCAUUCGUCACUCCCGCCUCCACCUUGCCUACCACUACUACCGCCACCACGUCAUCCCUCGCGGCUUCUCCCUCCUCCCGUUCACCUACUCCCGCUUCAUCUCAGCCCUCUGCUCCUCCUCCAAUAGCCCCCCCGUCAUCCAGGACCUCCUCAUCGACUUGCACGCUCUCGGCUUCGUCCCCGACAUCUGGGCCUUCAACACUUACCUCAGCUUCUUGUGCCGCCACAAUCGCUUAGAAUCCGCCCUCGAACUCUUCCACUCCAUGCCCUCCAAGGGGAGAGAGCCCGACGUUGUUUCUUAUACUAUUAUCGUUGACGCGUUGUGCAAAGCUCAACGCUUCGACGAGGCUGCUAGGGUUUGUCGUGGUUUGACUGGCAAAGGGUUGAGCCCUGAUUUUAAAGCCUGUGUUGCUAUUGUUGUUGGUUUGUGCCGUGGGCGUCGCGUUGAUUUGGCCUAUGAGCGUCGCGUUGAUUUGGCCUAUGAGCUUGUUGUCGAUGUGAUCAAGGGUGGGGUGAAGGUUAAUAUCUUGGUUUACAAUACUUUGAUUAAAGGGUUUUGCAAAAUGGGAAGGGUUGACAAGGCGACGAAGAUUAAAGCGUUUAUGAGCCGGAAUGGGUGUGUGCCGGAUUUGGUUACUCAUAAUAUACUGUUGAAUUACUGUUGUGACAAGGGGAUGGUGGAUGAGGCCUUGUGGAUGGUGGAGACAAUGGAGGCGGAGGCGGAGGCGGAUUUGUAUAGCUAUAAUGAGCUGUUGAAAUGUUUUUGCAAGGCUAAUAUGGUGGACAAGGCUUAUACGGUGCUGGUUGAGAGGAUGCAGACCAAAGGACUGUGUGAUGUUGUUUCGUAUAAUACUCUUAUCACAGCAUUCUGUAAGGUGCGCCGUACUAGGAGAGGUUAUGAGUUGUUUGAGGAGAUGUGUGGGAAGGGGAUUAGGCCAGAUAUGGUGACGUUUAAUAUACUUAUUGAUGCCUUUCUAAGAGAAGGAAGUAUCCAAGUGGUUAAGAAACUGCUUGGUGAAAUGACAAGGGCGGGCAUUCUUCCUGAUCUUAGAUGCUAUACUGCAGUAGUUGAUCACCUGUGCAAGACUGGAAAGGUUGAUACGGCUCAUAGUGUUUUCCGUGACAUGGUGAAGAAUGGGGUAAAUCCGGAUGUAAUCUCUUACAAUGCACUUGUAAAUGGAUUCUGUAAGGCUUCUAGAGUUAUGGAUGCCAUGCGUUUAUAUGAUGAAAUGCAGAGGAAUGGUUUGUACCCUGAUGAGGUAACUUUCAAGUUGAUAGUUGGAGGGCUUAUAAAGGGGAAAGAACUUUCACUGGCCUGUAGGGUUUGGGAUCAGAUGAUGGAGAAAGGCUUAAAACCUGACAGGCAUCUUUCUGAGACUCUAGUAAAUGCCUUUCUAAGAGAAGGAAGUAUCCAAGUAGUUAAGAAACUGCUCGAUGAAAUGACAAGGGCGGGCGUUCUUCUUGAUCGUAGAUUCUAUACUGCAGUAGUUGAUCACCUGUGCAAGACUGGAAAGGUUGAUACGGCUCAUAGUGUUUUCCGUGACAUGGUGGAGAAUGGGGUAAAUCCGGAUGUAAUCUCUUACAAUGCACUUGUAAAUGGAUUCUGUAAGGCUUCUAGAGUUAUGGAUGCCAUGCGUUUAUAUGAUGAAAUGCAGAGGAAUGGUUUGUACCCUGAUGAGGUAACUUUCAAGUUGAUAGUUGGAGGGCUUAUAAAGGGGAAAAAACUUUCACUGGCCUGUAGGGUUUGGGAUCAGAUGAUGGAGAAAGGCUUAACACUUGACAGGCAUCUUUCUGAGACUCUAGUAAAUGCCAUUCAAUCAAGUGAAGGUAAUUACAUCUGGAAAUUGGUUUGUCCUACUUUUAUGAUGCCCAUGGUGCAACCCCAUACCUUUUUGUAUGUCUAUCGUCCCAUAUACUAUGUGGUGUAACACUACUAACUCACAGACCAGCUUCUUGUAAAGGAUCCAGACUGAGGGCAGUGCUGUAAUGGUUUCUUGCUACCAAUGGAAGUAGUGGCUUCUUAAACCUUUUUCUGGAGCAGUAUCCAAGUUUUGUUUAAUAUUUUCAACAAACUGUUGAGUUGGCGGAUUGCAUUUGUCAAUUCAAAAUGGAGCAUUAAGUUAUUUCUGGGCCAUUUUUAUACAUAGAGGGCUGUGGCUUUGUUUCUCACUCAGCACAACUGAUAUUAGUAGUAAUUGAUUAUUUGGUUGGAAUCAGUCUGGCUGCCUAUUCGAAUCUCAAUUUUUUCUUCUGAGUUCAUGUUGAAGAGGCAGGUUUGAGUUAUUCUUAUGUUAUCUGAUAUUUUCGUAAAUCCUUCACCAGUGACUGCUCAAUUCAGACUGAUUGGGAGAAACAUCAAUGUUGAAUGCCUUAUGUCAUUUUAUGAUUCUAACUAUUAUGGUCCUGUUUCAUCAAGAUGAAGUUUGUGGUUGCAGAGGAUAAUUUGAACAAUGAAGAUUUGCAUUUAUUGGUGAUUUAAUCUUCUUGUGACGUGGGCCUAGGUCCUUGUUGCCUAUUCUAGUGAGUUGUUGAACAAUGAACUCAGCAUGGAACUUCAGGCUUCUCUAAAGAAAUGUUACCGUGAUCAUUACAAUUAUUCAAAGUAUGUUUCUACUUUUUUAAUUUCAGCACAUUCAUUUAUUAGAGAGCUAUGAUAUUCAGUGUGAUUUUGUCGACCUUUGCCCGUGCUAACCCCUAAUGGAACAAAACAAACAAAAUAUCGUAAGGAAAAAAUGGAUGUAUGAAUCAUUUGAAAGGUUGCAUAGUGUUUCAGAAGGCUGUUGAGAAUCAAUGGAGACUGACUGGAAACUGCAAUAUCUUAAGUUAUUUGGUAAAUUUUCACAUUUGUCAGUGGACUGCUUUAUAGUGCAUUUAUGCGAGAGACUCUGAAAUUAAAAUAACACUUUCUGCAGUUGGCAGUUGUUACAUUUAGUUAGAUAAUAUCAUGGUGCUGUGUAUUCUUUGUAGUUGUAUUGAACCUAAGGAAUUAAGAACAUGUUCUGACUGCAACUUUGAUUAUUUAUGUUUGAUUUGGGAAGGUGGGGGAAGGGUUGAUAUCUGGUAUUAGUCUAUGAAACAAAAUAAGUAUAUGAUAUCAAUGUACCCUAGUUUAUUGCAUGCUGGUAUUUCCUUGUCGAUAGAUUCUACCCUAGACGAUGUUGAACCUUGGAACAGAUUAGCUGAAUGACAACUGCAACCAGCACAAAAAGCAGUUUGCAGAUUGGUUUGAUACACAAUUGAAGAAAUACAAGUAAAAGGGCCUAAGAGAAAGUACAGGUGAAGGACAUAAGUCUGGAUAAUUGAUGAUUUCCCGAUGGAAGUGAAUCAUCUAGGGUCACCAUCCAACCAACUUCUGGAGUAGGAAAGAAAAAUGGGAAAUGAUUAAGAAAAUGCCAUGUUGGUCCAAGUGCCAGUAAAUUUAUUGUAUUAAGAAAACUAGUUUCAAAACUGCUACAUUUUAGAGUUCGUUUGGAAAAGUGCAGUGUUGAGACUGGGUUGACAACUCUUCCAUUCAUUCACUCACUCACUUUCUUGACUGUGUAUUAAUCAAAGAUUUUCAUUUCAAUGACAAAUAUUUCUCCAAUGUGGUAUCCCAAGCCCUUUAUUCAAACAUAUUAUUACACAAAUUGUAGAAAUUCCUAACCAGCUCCGUUUCUAAUAUAAUCCCAGGCCAUCAAAAUGAAAGUGGGCGUCAAAUUGUGUGAAUAUAUUAUAGAAGGAAAAGAAAUAGAUUAUUUUCCUGCAGUAUUGAACAUCAUCAGACCGGGAAUAAUCAAUUGCGAGUCAAAGUUGUGACAAAUUUACAGAUGAAACCAU